rnacentral:rRNA from 1 species
UACGAAGGGUGCAAACGUUGCUCGGAAUUAUUGGGCGUAAAGCGCACGUAGGCGGCUUGGCAAGUCGGAAUGUGAAACGUCCCUCCGGCCUCAACCAAGGAAGUGCAUCCGAAACUGCUGAGCUUGAGUACUUAAGAGGAUCGCGGAAUUCCCGGUGUAGAGGUGAAAUUCGUAGAUACUCGGGAGGAACACCAGUGGCGAAGGCCGGCGAUCUGGGAAGAUACGUGACGCUGAGGUGGCGAAAGCGUGGGGAGCAAACAGG